AGCGAACGCUGGCGGCAGGCCUAACACAUGCAAGUCGAGCGCCCCGCAAGGGGAGCGGCAGACGGGAGAGUAACACGUGGGAACGUACCCUUCGGUUCGGAACAACCCAGGGAAACUUGGGCUAAUACCGGAUACGUCCGAAAGGAGAAAGAUUUAUCGCCGAAGGAUCGGCCCGCGUCUGAUUAGCUAGUUGGUGGGGUAAUGGCUCACCAAGGCGACGAUCAGUAGCUGGUCUGAGAGGAUGAUCAGCCUCACUGGGACUGAGACACGGCCCAGACUCCUACGGGAGGCAGGUGUGGGGAAUGUUGGACAAUGGCCGCAAACCUGAUCCAGCCAUGCCGCGUGGGUGAUGAAGGCCCUAGGGUUGUAAAGCCCUUUCGGCGGGGAAGAUAAUGACGGUACCCGCAGAAGAAGCCCCGGCUAACUUCGUGCCAGCCGCCGCCGUAA
rnacentral:rRNA from 1 species